CGGUGCCUCACAGCCCUCUGCCUCUGGGAGUGGCCCCUUUCUACUAAGGAGGCAAGAGGUGGCCAGGAGUCUGUCAGCGAGUUCUGCAUGUCCUGGUGACCCUCCACCUGUUUCACAGUGUCACAGGGCAGCUCGAGCCUAUCCCAGCUAUCUUAGGGCGAGAAGCAGGGUGCACCCUCGACAGGUCACCAGUCUGUUACAGGGCUAACACAUAGACGCAGAAAACCAUUCGCACCUAUCGCCAAUUUACACUCUUCGAUUACCUAUUGCCACUAACUGCAGGUCGUUGGACUGUGGCAGGAAGCCGGACUACAAGGAAAGAACCCACGCAAAAACAGGAAGAACAUGCAAACUCCACACAGAGCGACGGUAGAGCUGAACUCAAGACCUUCUUCCUGUGCGGUAACGGUGCUAACCACUGUGCCGCCCGCGUAAGAGGAGAGCCACUGAGGGAACGCCUUCCGCCCUCCAACGCCUCCACCGUGACCUCCACUUCUGAGAGGAAUUGCCCACAGAUCAAGCAUGGAGUGUGCCUGAAUGGACAUACAGAACUCCAAGGUUCGGCCCAGUGUUGAGGGUUUUCCCAAAG